GCAGAAAUAUGAAUCAACAAAUGUAUCCUAUGAUGCCUAUGGUACAUCCGAUGAUUCAACCGAUGCACCUACAACCCAUAUACCCAAUGUAUGGACUACAACCUGGAAUGCAACAAGGAAUGCAACAUGGAACGAAUGUUGGUCAAAGUUCAUGUUAUGGUCUGCUACAACAUGUUAUGAAAUAUGCUAAGAAUGAUUGACUAUUUUGAGUAGAUUUGAAUGUAUUUUGG
rnacentral:lncRNA from 1 species